ACGCUCGACACCUACGGGGAGGUAGCAGUGGGGGAAUAAGUUAGCUACGAAUAGGGGGGAAACCCGUGAUGCAGCGAUGCCGCGUCGAAGGAGAAGUAUCUCGGGUAUGUAAACUUCUAUCUAGACNGGGAUAAAUGACGGUACCNGACUAAGAAGCCCCGGNUACUCGUNCCAGCAGCCGAGGUAAUCUGGAGCGGGCUGGCAAGGCNNC
rnacentral:rRNA from 1 species